rnacentral:lncRNA from 1 species
CAGAAGGGAAAGACAAAUGAUGAGGACAGGAAAUGCAAGGAAAGGAACCGAAGCAAAAAGCUGACUAAUGUGGGUCAGGAUAAAAAUAAUGUAACCAAAGGAGUGGACAACAAGCAGAAGCAGAAACUGGGGGCUGUCAGAGGGCAGAGGAGGAAAACACUCUGGUUCCAGAGGGUGAGGCCCAGGAGUGGAUGUCUGCUGGAUGCUUCUGACCCUCAUCGAAGGAGACAGUGCCUGCCAGAAGGCACCAGUAUGGAGACAGAGACUGUCAACCACAGGAGGUCUCAGAUAUCACCUCCUCCAAGAAGUCCUCCCUGGGCACCUUUUCUGCAGCAGCAUCCCCAGUGUUUCUUCUCCUAAUAGAACUCUUCGCUACCUGAACUUAUCUUCCUCAUUUCUUCACCCAUUUCUCGUGAGUAACUUCUAUGAUGGAGAGGCCUCUGAGUCUCCAGUGCACAGUAGGAGCUCUGAAAAUAGCACUGAGUAGACGCUCAGAAGAUACUUGUUGAAUGAAUGAACGAGCUAACCCAGCCAAACAAGUUUCUCAUUUGGCUAUAGUGGCUCUUGGUUUUACAAUAUCACAUU